rnacentral:tRNA from 2 species
GAAAGAUUAGUUUAAUNUAAAAUAUAAAUCUGUCAGGUUUAUGAAACUUUUGAGUAUUUUUCU